AAUUUUUUAAGAUUUCAGCCCAUUAUUCAUUAACUGGGCCCAAGUUCAUUCGUCAUCUUGCAAGGCGGUGCGCUUCGUUCCCACCUCCUACCGCUGCAUGAUCAAUGAUCAAUUUUCAAAUUAUGUGUGUACAUUCUGUUGGAUAGAUGCAGUAGUAGUCGUGGACGAUUACAAUCGGAAGAGUUCAGCUGUGAGACCACGUCCUACAGCGUCGGUUUCGUCAUUUCAUUCAUUGUUCCUCCGUCGAUGCCUUCGCUCCGCGCCGGAAGUCGGUAGAGUUGGUUAAGCCAACGAAAAUGGGUCAAAUGAAUGAAGAAGUUGCGGGCAGUAUGUAUGCUCGUAAUUCGCGCAUGUAUUUCUGUAUAGAUAAAGAUGUCUCUUCUGUUUUCACCAGUUUAAAAAUUAAACAAUCAUACGCCGACGACGGUGUUAAUUUAUGACUGGUAACUUGACAGUGCUUGUUGAACUUGGAUGCGGGUGCAAGAUAUGUUUACUAUACUUUCAUUGCAAGCAUUAUGAUGACAAAGCUGCCUAAGCACAGCUAGGUUUUUUAACUCAACAAAGCAAGGUAACUAAAAUAGUGUGAUUAGAAUUGCUAAGGACUCGGAAUUGAUCCAAGAAGAAUUUACAUUAAAUGCUGAAAGACAGGUAAGUAAGCAGAGUAGUAAACUAAAGCUAUAAAAGAAAAUAAGUAAAACAACAUAUUUGAAUCUUCUGAGGGUAGAUUUGUUUUUCUUUUCAUCACACCGUAGUAUUUAUUAGAGUUAGGUGAGAUGAUGGUGGUCAAUCAGACACAUAAAUCUUGAGGGAAAAAAAAGGGUUAAAAGUUAGAACUACAUGGGAAGUUAUCAAAAGUUAUUACGUCUUUGGUAUCUCACCUGACCAAGGCCCCUUGAUGCUAGUAAGUACCUCACCCAAGUAGCUGCAAAUUCACCACAUUUGGAUUAUCUUGAAGUUACACCAUUUUUUGGAAUUCAAAUGCAGCUGUCAAUCACAUUCCAAAUUUUUUUCUGGUGGAUCUUUUUAUUCCCCCACGCAUGCCCAUUGUUCACCUCAAUCAGUAAAAAUUUAUUACAUUCUUGUGUUUAUUACUUUAUUUCCUACUUCUGGGUUCAUUUGGAAUAGUUGGUUAAAGUAUAGAAAUAUAGUUCUUCUAGUGAUUCUCAACUUGGAUUCCUUGUUGAAUAUCAAGGAAAAUGCUGACUUGCGGCUGUAAUUAUCUAAGAGCAGAUUUACGGGCAUUAGAAUUCCUUAGGACUAGUUUGAUGGUUAACUUUAUCAUAUCUACUGUAGUAUAAUCUAAUGGAUGUACAUUUUUUCUGAGUUUAGUAUUAAUUACAGAUUUUAAUACAUCAAAGUAAACGCAUGGUUGGGGUGGCUAGAAUAUCUCUCUUAGGAAAUAUGACCUAAGUUGACUCACAAACCUACAUUAUAGGCUUUAAGCUAUAGUGAUAAAAAUAUACUUGGUUGUGUCAUGAUUCAUGAAUUUGGUGAAUGUUUGGUCUUCAAUAUGCCUGUAGAACUCUACUCUACUUAUGUUCUUGAAACUUGAUGUAGUAGAACACGGGGCUAUCUAUUUACAUUUCAAAAUUGAUUAUUUUACCAUCGAACUUAGAAUCCUCAAUUAUCUGAUACAACGCAGAGGAACAAUUAGCUCUCUGACAUUGUUCUAUACCAUUCACUUGUUCAGACUUGACUAGAAAAUUUUAUAGUUUGAAGUUGUUAAUGAUUUGUUGUUGCUCUUUUAUUUUGUUACUUUAUCUUACAUUACCCCGGGUUAGCUGGUUUCUCAGAGUUAUGUACCCUUGCGAUGCACCAAAUGAAUGGUACACUGACAUGGUCAUUUGAAUUUUACUUAUCAGUUUUUUCAACUGGGCUAAGACUUUUGAUGAGGAAAAGAGUAUUGAAACCAACUACAUAAUAGGGAGGCACUAAAGCAAAUGAGCGACAUCGCCUUAAAGUUGCUUGGAAUACCAAUGGAACCCAAGGAAGAAUAUAUUCCUCAUGUACCAGGCUCCGAUGAGCCGUCCCAAAGUUCAUGCGCACAGUUGAUGGCAAAUUAUGCAAUUAUGAAACAUUAUGGUUUGUCCCUUCUGUAAUUCUUGUAUGUUUCUCUGUAACUAGUCUGUCGUUAUGGAUGAGAUUGUUGUGCAAAUUAUGCAUAUUUUGUAUGUUGUUUCGAUGCAUUUGAAUUAUUACUGUA